rnacentral:rRNA from 1 species
UACGUAGGAACCGAGCGUUGUCCGGAUUCAUUGGGCGUAAAGAGCUCGUAGGCGGCCACUCAAGUCGAAUGUGAAACCUCGAGGCUUAACCUCGAGCCUGCAUUCGAUACUGGGCGGCUAGAGUCUGGUAGGGGGAUCUGGAAUUCCUGGUGUAGCGGUGGAAUGCGUAGAUAUCGAGAGGAACACCUGCGGCGAAGGCGGGUUGCUGGGCUGACACUGACGCUGAAGUGCGAAAGCUAGGGGAGCGAACGGG